AGUCGAGCGGAGUGAUGGUGCUUGCACCUUCACUUAGCGGCGGAGGGGUGAGUAAGGCGUAGGAAUCUGCCAUUUAGUGGGGGACAACAUUCCGAAAGGGAUGCUAAUACCGCAUACGUCCUACGGGAGAAAGCAGGGGAUCUUCGGACCUUGCGCUAAAUGAUGAGCCUAAGUCGGAUUAGCUAGUUGGUGGGGUAAAGGCCUACCAAGGCGACGAUCUGUAGCGGGUCUGAGAGGAUGAUCCGCCACACUGGGACUGAGACACGGCCCAGACUCCUACGGGAGGCAGCAGUGGGGAAUAUUGGACAAUGGGCGGAAGCCUGAUCCAGCCAUGCCGCGUGUGUGAAGAAGGCCUUUUGGUUGUAAAGCACUUUAAGCGAGGAGGAGGCUACUAGUACUAAUACUACUGGAUAGUGGACGUUACUCGCAGAAUAAGCACCGGCUAACUCUGUGCCAGCAGCCGCGGUAAUACAGAGGGUGCGAGCGUUAAUCGGAUUUACUGGGCGUAAAGCGUGCGUACGCGGCUUUUUAAGUCGGAUGUGAAAUCCCCGAGCUUAACUUGGGAAUUGCAUUCGAUACUGGGAAGCUAGAGUAUGGGAGAGGAUGGUAGAAUUCCAGGUGUAGCGGUG
rnacentral:rRNA from 1 species